UACGAAGGGGGCUAGCGUUGCUCGGAAUCACUGGGCGUAAAGGGUGCGUAGGCGGGUCUUUUAAGUCGGUGGUGAAAUCCUGGAGCUCAACUCCAGAACUGCCUUCGAUACUGGGAGCUCGAGUCCGGGAGAGGUGAGUGGAACUGCGAGUGUAGAGGUGAAAUUCGUAGAUAUUCGCAAGAACACCAGUGGCGAAGGCGGCUCACUGGCCCGGUACUGACGCUGAGGUGCGAAAGCGUGGGGAGCAAACAGG
rnacentral:rRNA from 1 species